rnacentral:rRNA from 1 species
GACGUACGCUGGCGGCGUGCUUAACACAUGCAAGUCGAACGGAAAGGCCCUGCUUUUGUGGGGUGCUCGAGUGGCGAACGGGUGAGUAAUACGUGAGUAACCUGCCCUUGACUUUGGGAUAACUUCAGGAAACUGGGGCUAAUACCGGAUAGGAGCUCCUGCUGCAUGGUGGGGGUUGGAAAGUUUCGGCGGUUGGGGAUGGACUCGCGGCUUAUCAGCUUGUUGGUGGGGUAGUGGCUUACCAAGGCUUUGACGGGUAGCCGGCCUGAGAGGGUGACCGGCCACAUUGAGACUGAGAUACGGCCCAGACUCCUACGGGAGGCAGCAGUGGGGAAUAUUGCACAAUGGGCGGAAGCCUGAUGCAGCAACGCCGCGUGCGGGAUGACGGCCUUCGGGUUGUAAACCGCUUUCGCCUGUGACGAAGCGUGAGUGACGGUAAUGGGUAAAGAAGCACCGGCUAACUACGUG